GGGCCUAUAGCUCAGUUGGUAGAGCCUCCGGCUCAUAACCGGCAGGUCGUAGGUUCAAAUCCUACUAGGCCCACCA
rnacentral:tRNA from 1 species